UGGGUUAGCCCCAAAUUCAUUUAGGACUUGUUUGCCUGGAUGGGCCUGAUGAAAAUGGAUAGGAUAGGCCAUCCAUUUUGUUUCUAGCUUUGAUGAAAGGCAGUAGAUUGGAAAUGGGUGCAUUUUUAAUGUUUACUUGCUUUCAAAUAGAACAUUUUGAUAGACCAAACACCUGAUUCUUUUAAUGAUGAGUUCAAUCACCACUGCUUUCAAUCUAAUGUUUAUGUAUCCUCAUCAUAGAUGUAGAGCAGAAGGCGAGUGGUGACCUCACCAAGGAUGUAGAGCUAAAGGGCGUGUUUUUAGCCAUUGGUUAAGAGUGAGAGGCUAGAGGGGCUAUUGAUAUCUAUUGGUUGAAAUUUAAGUUUGUUCAGUUGGAAUGCUGAAGUUUAAAGAAUUAGUAGAGGCCUCUAUUGUGGUUCUCAGAUGUCGAAGAGCAUUAAACCAUGUCUGCCCUAUCGCCGAUUGGUCUCAUCUUCUGUUUUAUGGUUGUGAUUUGCUAAGGAGAUGUUGCAGCAACUUUCAGUCCCAACUGAUGUAUGAUUUUGCCCGUGACAUUCAUGUGCAUUUGUAGUAUGAAAACAUUAAAUAGACCGUUAACUGUUUUAUGGGUAUUGUGUUGAUUAUUGUCUUGAUGAAUGUUAAAUGGGUGAAACAUGCACGCACAUGUUUAAUCA